GCACAAAUGGCACAGUGUGUGUACCCAGGGACUUUGUGAGGUCAGCAUAGGUCCCUGUCAAUUCAGAGGACCAGGACAAGCCAUGUGUUCUGAUAAAACAUGAGAGCCAUGUCAGUGGGACCAGGCUUUCUUCCUCUGGCCUUUCUUCUUUGGAGCAGAAACCCAGUCAAGCCCUGAGCUGGUGCUGCUCAUCAAACAACUGCAGGGUGUUGGAACCCUGAGCUGCUUCUACCCUGGGGCCUGGACAGCAGCAGUGGACCCUCCACGCAGCCAGCUCUCUCGACUUUCUCACACAUACCUGGAGACUGACUUCCUCAAGCUGACGCCAAGUGGCCUCUUGGACUGACCUGGCUGCCAAGUGGGAGCAAGCACAGGAUGAGUCCUCUGCUUCGUGAUCUGCCAUCUGUGAGAAGCUUGCUGUAAGGUCCUCCUGCCUCAAGACCGUGAGGAGACCAUGAGCCGAAAUAGUCCCGACUUCUUAUAAGGC